UAUUUCACCUGAUAUAACCUAGACUUAAAAAGUCUGAUAUGAUCUGUUUUAAGAGGCUUGUUAGAUAGACAAAAGAACAUUUACCUCGUACUGAGGGAGUUUAUGCAAAACACAAUUUAUUGAUCUAGGUACAUAUCGUUUUAUAAUCAAAAUCUGGAAAUUUUCAAUAUUGGAUCUUUUUAGGAGAAAUCGACUUUUUAACAGGUACAUACCAAUAUUACAACAUAGGGAAUUAAAAUCUCAUUUGAGAAAACUAUAGAUAACUUCAGACAGAGCUGCAAAACUAUGCGAACCAAUCAAAUGAGUUGCCUCUCAUUCAAAAUUUAUCAUUUUAUCCUCUUUCUUCUUGCCACUCUGCAAGACAUUCACAAAUUCACCAAUUUUCUUGUCUGAGCUUCCACCUUCACUAAUGGCCUCCUUAGCUAACUCUCUCCAUUUCCUUAUCUUCUUAGCUUAUCUUAUUGCACUAGAACCACCACCCAAUAUAUUCAAAACAUUACCAACCACAACAGAAAAGUGCAGACAUAUACAACAGCUUUGAAAUAGCCAGUAUACAUUCAACUUGAUGGAUCCAGUUUUCUAUUAUCUUCCGUAUGCCUUUGCAACAAUGAGUAUACAUUUCACAUUACUCUAAGAUUACAAUUAUUCUUCAACAUAUGUAUUCAAUAGCUAAAAAGUUCUGUUCCAGAGAGUACCAAGGAUUUCUACCUGUCUCAUUUAUGCUAAAAUCUUACUUACGAAUUCCUUAUUUCCUUAUCUUCUUAGCUUUCUAUCUACAAUUUUAAUUGGUUAAAAUUUUAGUUAAUUUCUGUUGUUGUUCAACCAAACAUAACACCAUAUGUAUGAAUCAAGAGACAAUUUAACCUCAAAUUUUCCAAUUUUUAUUUUGUCAGAUAGAAUAUCAAUAGUAGAUUUACUAAUACCAAUUCAAAUAAUCUAAAAAAAAAAAAAAACACUAAUCUGAUUACGAAUAAAGAAAACACCGAACUGAUGACAUAUGAUGAUCUGAGAUGAACAGAAAACCCUAGAAGAAACACUAAAAAUAAUAAAAAGUUCAUUGAGAAGAGAGAGAGAGAAGCAAAAGAAAGAAGGAAGAAAUGGCAUUGAGAUCAGCUGUUGUUAGUGUUGGAAAAGGAGGAGGAAGAAACCCAAAGAUUAUUCAUUCAAUUCCCAAACUUGAUAAAAGCAGAUUCCAUGCUUCUAGUUCUGCUGCUCCAUCUCUUUAUAGUUAUAGAACUUCACAUUUCUAUCAACUUCAAGGUAAAUUUUCUCAAAUAAUGUGUAUUUUUUUUAAAAAUGUUUUGAUUAAAUAAUUUAUAAGAUUAUUAAGUCACUGAAAUGAGUGACUAACAAUUAACAAAUCUGUUUUUAUUUGUAGUAUUUCAUUCUUUGGUUAUUAAUAAGUUGAGGAUUGCAAAGAAAAGUUACUCUUUGGUUAUUUGUACUAUGGUCAAUUUCAACAAUGUUCCUACCAAACAAGAUUCAAAUAUUGCAAAACUUUGUGGUCUUCAGAUGCUAACAAACAAUUUUACUUUGUAUGCAUCUUCUUUGGAGGGGAUUUUGGUGGUUGGAACACAUAUCUAGCCUUGAAUAACUCAUCUACAUGUUCAAAAUUCUUACUAUAAAUGUCUGCAAAUCUGUAGGGGAUUUUGGUGAUUAUAUGUAAUUACACAAACUCCCAGCACACAAGUUAUAAGACUGGAUCCACGAAACAAGUUGACCUGCACACAUCCUCGCAAAACUCUAACAUAACCAAUCUGGGAUGCCAGUCUGCAACUAAGACAUGCUCUUUUAUAUUCACUUACUCAAACGUUGCGAUCAUUUUGUCGGUUAGAACUUUUAAAAUGCACCAAAAGCUACCAUCAUCAUUGAUAUUUGAUUUACAUGCCAAUCGAUUUCAUAUACAUCUACAAAUAUUUCUGGUAUUUAGUUCUGAAGGUCUGUUUUAAUCAGUAGGUGUAACAUAUAAGAAUACUUGCGAAACAUUCAAGCAUCAAAUUCGUGCAAUAAAUACUGAGACCAGUGUGGAAACAAAGGCUUCUGUCAAAGAGGAUGAACAUUUGUCUCAGGAUUGGAAGAUUAAAAUGCUUUAUGAUGGUGAAUUCCCACUUUGCUUGAAAGAGGUCCGUUCCAUAUGUUAUGAUUCCUUUUCUGAAUGGUUCAGAUUUUUUUAGUUUGGCCAGUAUAACUCAAAAUGAUUAAGUAAUCUUUUGGAAAUUGGGUAUAGUUAUUCUUGGUGUAAUUAGUUUAACACAGAACACUAGAAAGAUCUCCCUGACUGUUUUCGAAUGUAUUCUUUAUUGUCAGGUUAAUAUGCUUAAAGAGAGGAAUAAGAGCUACAGAACUAUCAAGUUUGUUGAUAUUAGCUCUGAUGACUACUCUCCAGAGGAGAAUCAAGGUCUUGACUAUGAAACUGUAUGUGAUGAAGCACCUUGGAUAUUUUUCCUAACAGUAUAUUAUUAUAUUACACGUUUGUUCACAUUUUCAGAUUUCCAUGACUUGCUAAAAAAGUAACUAAAUGCACAUAGGGCAUAUGUCUCCUAUAACUCCUUUAUUUAAAAUGACUUAUUACUCUGAGGAGACUUCUCCUCCAUUAGGAUUAGUUUGUACCAACUACGAGUGUUUCUAACUUCCAUGUGUUUAAGGAGCCUUAAAGUUUGUGGUUGUCUACAUCAUAUUCCUUAAAGUGAAAAACGAAGUGCUUUUACACAUUCCUUCUCACUCCAUGUGUUUUGAACUUCUAUUAUGUAUAAUGCCUCCUUAAAAUAUUUUUAUUUUUAUAGUGCAAUCAAUAAUUCAAUAUGCACCAAUUCUGACAACGCUCCCAGAUGAAUUUUAACAUCAACAUAAACGACACAAUACCAGAUAAGAUUAUGAUUUAAAUUUUUUGUGGUGAUGUUGAAAUGGGUAAAAUUAAUUUUUGAUUGAUCAUGCCACAACUUUUACUUUAAGAGUAGACAUUGUUCUCAGCAGCGAAAUGUAGGCAAGACUGAUUCCCAGUACUGAUCCAAGGAAAUUGGAGACCUUAGGCAAAACUGUGAUGGAGCCCUUUUUCCUACACAUGUGAUAGUUUAUAAUCCUUUUGAGGAAUAUUUCUACUUGUAAAAAUGAGUUGCGGUAAUAUGGUGCUCUGGUUAGAGCCUUAGAGACCCAGGAUCAAUCCUUCUACCUUUACAAACAUGUAUAACAUAUUUAAAAAUGAGACUCUCAUCCUUGGUGAGGCCUAGGCGUUUGCCUAAGCUGCCUUACGGUUGGUCAGUCCAGCUGAUUUCAUUAGGAGGAAAAGAGAGAGAAAGCAAAUGACAAUGAAGUGCUGGUCACUUAGCAGUAAGAACAAUUUUCUUUGUGGAAUUCCACUUUUACUACUGACAAGCAUUUACUUUUCCCUCUUAUUCUUUAGGCUAUGGGGAGAAUUCAUGCAAUUCAGUCAGAUGGUACUGUGGUCACAGGUGUCGAAGUAUGCCACUCCAAACUGUCGACUUCCCAUCCAUUUGUUUUCAUGCAUAUUACUCUUGCAUUCUUAUUUCACUUUUUCGUUUACGGUUUAUACUCUAUUAAAAGAUGCACAUGUUUGUUAGAAAAAAUCACCACACUCAGUAUUGUUGUAUUGCAAUGAUUGAAUUUAAGAGAAGUUCCUUAAACUAGCUUAUCAUUUUCUUUUCCAUCAAUAAACCAUGGAUUUAGAGAAAGAAAAAAAAAAACACCCAUUUUGUUAAUCUAAUAAGAAUCUUCCCAGUCAUUGCAUUAGCUAUGGCACCAGAUACUUUUAUAUGAGUAAUAGCGUUAAAUGCAUCGGUGAUUUCAAUGAAGCUUCUUUCAUUAGUGGGAGUUGACAGUUAGUGUUCAUGGAUGGGAAUAGUUGUAGGUUGGCUAUUGACCGUGUUCUUUUUUUCUCUAAAGUAAUUUCUUCACAAGAUCCUUGCAUCAAUAAUAAAAAUUCUUCACAAGAUCUUUGAUUGAAUAGACGAUCAAUCAGUGUCAUAAAAGUAUAUUUAGUGAAUGUUGACACAAGGCUUGAACAAUUCAGUGAAAAUUUGUAGGCAUUCCGAAGACUUUAUGAAGAAGUUGGUCUUGGAUGGGUGUGUGCCAUUACCAAAUAUGAACCUGUAAGCUCUCUCUUUUCAUAGAUUAAGGGUUUGCCGUUAAAGAGGCUUACAUUUUUUUUCCAUGAAGGGAAAACGUGGAUACUUUUUGUAUUCUUUUAUUAAUAAGACAGCACCAUGUUUGCAGGUUGCAACUAUAGCUAAUGCAGUAUAUGGUGUUUGGGCUAAAUAUCGUAUGCAAGUUACAGGCAAGUCCAUAUUUAUUUAUCAUAUUCAGACGACUAUAUUCAUAGUCUCCUAUGGAAUAUGUAUAAUCACAUUAGUUAUUUUAGUGUGAGCUUCUCAAUCAAAAAUUUUAAGAAUUUCUCGUUCUUGGGUUUCAAAUUGCAUAUAAGAUAUAAUACACUACUAAGAGUAGUCUGAACUCUUAAGUUCCACCAUAUGUAGUUGCUUUGCAAUUUCAGCAUCAUUAUAUAUUUUGUGGUGCUGAGUUCUUUUUCUGAUGCGAACUGAUUCUCAUGGAUGUAGGCCGGCCGUCUUUGGAAGAAAUCUUUGAGGCACGAAGGAAAAACAGGGUAUGAAUGGAUACCUUCCACCAUCCAAUCUCUUACACAUUAUUAUGAUUAACAUCUCUGGACUUACAUAGCCAACGUGAUUAACAAAACUGUCGCUGUUCACAAAAAAUAUUAUAAAACACAUGGGUUUUUUUUAUUGCACAAUAUAUCUUCUUACAUUGGUUAACAAAACUGUCACACCUCAAAAAAAAAAAAAAAAAAAAAAGAAAAAGAACUUUCUAUUGCACAAAAUAUCUUGUUCAUAAACUUUUUACCUCGAACAGCUAUGGAGACUCAGGAGUACUUGUAUUUACUUAAUUCAGUAUUCUCCAGUUAUCUAAGUAGCAUAUUGUUUGCCAACGUUUUGGUUUUAUGGUUUCACUUACAGGGUGAAGUUUGCAGAGACAAGUUUGCGAAUAUGUGAGCUUUUUAUAGUAUGCAGACCUCUUUCUGUCUUUCAAAUGACACUAUACCUGAGGUGGGACUCAUUGAUAGUUGUUGAGUAUUUGUUUGUAUAGUAUGCAUUAAUUUUUAUUCGGUUUGUGUCACGUAGCUGAUACUGUACUUCACAGAUAUAUCAUUUUGAUUGCACUAUGUAAAUGUAAACAUAAAUGUUCAUACCUCCCUGUACAUAAAUUUGCUUACAGAUAUACUUCAUACUUUGGGUGUGGUGAACUUUAAACUAUAUAUGAUGAUGAUCAUUCUUUUGCUCGUACUCGUAUACAUUACAAUAUAAUCUGGAGCACCUCAUAAGUCGCAGAAUUCAAAUAUUUUCAUCUAAUGUGUUAUUUUCCUUCUCAUUGGCUUGAUCAUAAAAUCCACCACAUCAUUGAUUCAGAUGUGUUCUUUUGCUCGGUACUCGUCAUCUAGAUGUGCAAGUUUGACCCCGUGUGGGUGUCCAGAUCCUAACACAUCAUUCAUUCAGUUGUCUACUUGUCUAUGUUGUACAAAUUUCAUCAUGUGGUUCAGUUUAUUGCGUAUUCGUUGUACUAUUUAUUUACCAAGUUUGAAUUAUCACCAAUCCAAUGAGCUGUCCUUCAUAUUUCACCUGAUAUAACCUAGACUUAAAAAAGUCUGAUAUGAUCUGUUUUAAGAGGCUUGUUAGAUAGUCAAAAGAACAUUUACCACUCGUACUGAGGGAGUUUAUGCAAAACACAGUUUAUUAAUUUAUUGAUCUAGGUACAUAUAAUUUUAUAAUCAAAAUCUGAAAAGUUUCGAUAUUGGCUCUU
rnacentral:lncRNA from 1 species